GUCGAACGGUAGAGGGGAGCGUGCUCCCCUUGAGAGUGGCGAACGGCUGAGUAACACGUAGGAACGUACCCCACAGACAGGGAUAACAGACCGAAAGGCCUGCUAAUACCUGAUAUAUCCUCCGGGAGGAAAUGGUCCGCCGCUGUGGGAGCGGCCUGCGGCGUAUUAGGUAGUAGGUGAGGUAAUGGCUCACCUAUCCGAUGAUGCGUAGCUGAUCUGAGAGGAUGAUCAGCCAGACUGGGACUGAGACACGGCCCAGACUCCUACGGGAGGCAGCAGUUCAGAAUCUUGCACAAUGGGGGAAACCCUGAUGCAGCCAUGCCGCGUGAGCGAAGAAGGCCCUCGGGUCGUAAAGCUCUGUCAGAGGGGAAGAUAAUGACGGUACCCUCAAAGGAAGCAACGGCUAAUUACGUGCCAGCAGCCGCGGUAAUACGUAAGUUGCGAACGUUAUCCGGAAUCACUGGGCGUAAAGCGUUCGUAGGCGGCAUGGAAAGUAGGAUUUGAAAGCCCGGGGCUCAACUCCGGAACCGGAUCCUAAACUUCUAAGCUAGAACAGAUCAGAGGGCAGAGGAAUUCCCGGUGUAGCGGUAAUAUGCACAGAUAUCGGGAGGAACACCAGUGGCGAAGGCGACUGCCUGGGGUCUUGUUGACGCUGAGGAACGAAAGCUAGGGUAGCGAACGGGAUUAGAUACCCCGGUAGUCCUAUGCUGUAAACGAUGGACACUAGGUGUCAGGGGCUUCGACCCCCUUGGUGCCGCAGCUAACGCAUUAAGUGUCCCGCCUGGGGAGUACGGCCGCAAGGUUAAAACUCAAAGGAAUUGACGGGGGCCCGCACAAGCAGUGGAGCAUGUGGUUUAAUUCGAUGCUACGCGAAGAACCUUACCAGGACUUGACAUCCCGGCGUAAUCCCUUAGAAAUAGGGGACCCCUUCGGGCGCCGGUGACAGGUGGUGCAUGGUUGUCGUCAGCUCGUGCCGUGAGGUGUUGGAUUAAGUUCCGCAACGAGCGCAACCCUUGUUGUUAGUUGCCAUCAUUCAGUUGGGCACUCUAGCGAGACUGCCAGCGUCAAGCUGGAGGAAGGUGGGGACGACGUCAAAUCAUCAUGCCCCUUACGUCCUGGGCUACACACGUGCUACAAUGGGCGGUACAAUGGGUUGCCACAUCGCGAGAUGGAGCGAAUCCCCAAAGCCGUCCUCAGUUCGGAUUGCAGGCUGCAACUCGCCUGCAUGAAGCUGGAAUUGCUAGUAAACGUGGAUCAGCAUGCCGCGUUGAAUACGUACCCGGGCCUUGUACACACCGCCCGUCACACCAUGGAAGUCGGUAACACCCGAAGCCCGUGAGCUAACCGCAAGGAGGCAGCGGUCGAAG
rnacentral:rRNA from 1 species